CAGCUACAAAAUCUCAAUGGGAAAUUCUUAAAACUACAGCACCCACCUGCUAAAGUGAAAAAACAGAUUGACAGAGCCAGAAGAGUACCCAGAAAUUACCUACUACAGGACAGGUCC